UACGUAGGGGGCGAGCGUUAUCCGGAAUUACUGGGCGUAAAGCGCACGCAGGCGGUUCGCCAAGUUUGGAGUGACAGUUGUCGGCUCAACCGACAAAGGACUUCAAAAACUGGUGAACAUUGAGGACGGAGAGAGGAACAUGGAACUCCAGGUGUAGUAGUGAAAUGCGUAGAUAUCUGGAAGAACACCAAUGGCGAAGGCAAAUGUUCUG
rnacentral:rRNA from 1 species